CUUGACAUGUCAGGAAUCCUCGAGAGAUCGGGGAGUGCCCGAAAGGGAGCCUGAACACAGGUGCUGCAUGGCUGUCGUCAGCUCGUGUCGUGAGAUGUUGGGUUAAGUCCCGCAACGAGCGCAACCCUUGUCAUUAGUUGCUACGAAAGGGCACUCUAAUGAGACUGCCGGUGACAAACCGGAGGAAGGUGGGGAUGACGUCAAGUCCUCAUGGCCCUUAUGGGUAG
rnacentral:rRNA from 1 species